rnacentral:rRNA from 1 species
AGUGAACGCUGGCGGUAGACCUAACACAUGCAAGUCGAACGGCAGCACAGUAAGAGCUUGCUCUUACGGGUGGCGAGUGGCGGACGGGUGAGGAAUACAUCGGAAUCUACUUUUUCGUGGGGGAUAACGUAGGGAAACUUACGCUAAUACCGCAUACGACCUACGGGUGAAAGCAGGGGAUCUUCGGACCUUGCGCGAUUGAAUGAGCCGAUGUCGGAUUAGCUAGUUGGCGGGGUAAAGGCCCACCAAGGCGACGAUCCGUAGCUGGUCUGAGAGGAUGAUCAGCCACACUGGAAGUGAGACACGGUCCAGACUCCUACGGGAGGCAGCAGUGGGGAAUAUUGGACAAAGGGCGCAAGCCUGAUCCAGCCAUACCGCGUGGGUGAAGAAGGCCUUCGGGUUGUAAAGCCCUUUUGUUGGGAAAGAAAAGCAGCAGGUUAAUACCCCGCUGUUCUGACGGUACCCAAAGAAUAAGCACCGGCUAACUUCGUG